GACCGAGGGUGCAACCGUUGUUCGGAAUUACUGGGCGUAAAGCGCGUGUAGGCGGCUUGGCAAGUCGGGUGUGAAAGCCCCGGGCUCAACCUGGGAAGUGCACUCGAAACUGCUUGGCUUGAGUACUGGAGAGGGAAGCGGAAUUCUCGGUGUAGAGGUGAAAUUCGUAGAUAUCGAGAGGAACACCGGUGGCGAAGGCGGCUUCCUGGACAGUUACUGACGCUGAGACGCGAAAGCGUGGGGAGCAAACAGG
rnacentral:rRNA from 1 species